rnacentral:rRNA from 1 species
AGUGAACGCUGGUGGUAGGCCUAACACAUGCAAGUCGAACGGCAGCACAGUAAGAGCUUGCUCUUACGGGUGGCGAGUGGCGGACGGGUGAGGAAUACAUCGGAAUCUACUUUUUCGUGGGGGAUAACGUAGGGAAACUUACGCUAAUACCGCAUACGACCUACGGGUGAAAGCAGGGGAUCUUCGGACCUUGCGCGAUUGAAUGAGCCGAUGCCGGAUUAGCUAGUUGGCGGGGUAAAGGCCCACCAAGGCAACGAUCCGUAGCUGGUCUGAGAGGAUGAACAGCCCAAACUGAAAUGGAGAAACGUUCCGAACCCUUAGGGAGGCAGGAGUGGGGAAUAUUGGACCAAUGGGGGAAGGCCUAUUCAGGCCAUACGGGGGGGGUGAAGAAGGCUUUCGGUUGGUAAAGCCCUUUUUUUGGGAAGAAAAAGCGGCAGGUUAAAACCCGGUGGUUUGACGGGUACCAAAGGAAAAGGCACCGGCUAAUUCCGU